UAUAGGGAGAGAUGUCCAAAUGAUGCUUCAAGAUUUCCAGGACCAUAACCCUUGAUAUUUAAGCCUAAACUCUAGAGAUCUAGUUUUUCAAAAGGAUGUUAUAAUUAUGAUGCAAAUAGGAAGCCAUGUUUUUGUUAAGACUGAAAGCACUGUGUCUUCCUUGGGCAAUUCUAAAGUCACCUUUGGAGGUGGGACUAGGCUGGUCGUAAUUCCAAAACUGGAUGAUUCAGAACCUUCUGUCUACCAGCUGAAGUCCCAAAAUGAAGAAAGCAAUGUGGCCGCUUGCCUCAUUACUGAUUAUUCACCUAAUCCCAUCGAUGUGAAUUCAGAACCAGUCAGUGGCUCUACUGUGGUCGUAAAAGACGGCAACAAUAAAGAUUCAGCCAGCCUUGGGGUUGUCACAUGGGGCAAAAAUGAUGACCAGUUUCAUUGCUCUGCUACUUACAAAGGCACCCCCUAUGAAGCUGAAACACAAGGAGAUGAUACCUGUUCAAAAAAUACACCGUCCGGCACUCCAGCUUUUGAAACAGACGAAAGGUUGAAUCUUCUCUCUCUCACUGUAUUGGGACUGAGAAUAAUAUUUUUCAAGAGUGUUGCUCUCAACUUGAUACUCACCUAUUGGGCAUGGUCAAGAUGAGGAAUGAGAGCAAAAUGGGGAAACAUAACUGGGAUGUUGUGGAAGAAUCAUCUAAGGAUUUCAAGAUUUGACUGGACAGAAUCAUGCUACAAGCUUUCCUGGUUGCCUUCUCAACUUUUUAAAGAAAAUGGCUUCACUUUUCAAAUGUUUCAUGGUACAAUUUUUAAAAACAUCUAGGUAGCUUAUCAACCCAAAUUCUUGCAUUGUUCUAAAUGUAUUAUACCGUCUUCUGAAUAUUAUCUGUCAAAACAUUUAUAGUGUAAUAAAGAUGCAUAUUUGAA